AAAGCAAAAGACGGCUGAUCUCCAACCACCAUGGAUUCCGUAAAGGAAGAGAUUGCCUGACGCAGCUACUGCAUCAUUUUGAUGACAUUUUGAGAGCCUUGGGAGAGGGUUCCAACACUGAUGUCGUCUACCUUGAUUUCAGCAAGGA